GCUGAGGGAAAAGGAAACAAAAAUAAAUAGAAUUAUUGAACAUAUUCCUAGCCAUGCUAGUGGCAUUGCUCUAUCAGGUAUCUUGGUACGGUAGGUCAACCAAUCAGUCCACUUUGGUGAGGGCUCAACUUUACCACGGCCAUCGAUUGCAAUUGAUGGUUUUCAUGGUUUCCAGGAUCAAUUCCAAUUGACUUUGUUGAUCGCCUGGCUUUUCAUCGACAGCAGCAUCACCAUGAGGUUCAUAUUCAUGAAUUUGACUGAAAUAUCUUGGCUGUCACAGAAUGAAAUGUCAUAACUCUGGUGAUGUGGUGGUCUUUUUUCUCCCUUGGUUGCUAUCUUCAGAUCAAAAUUAUAGUUCGUCCAAUAUUUUGGUUUGUUGCCAAACACCUGUCGGACAUGGAUCUCAGUUUGGGGGCUCCAACAGCAAAGGCCCUUUCACCCUUAGUCAUAUGUUAUGUGUUAUCUGAUUGUUUUUUUUUUUUUGUAUAUGUACAGUGACAUUAAUUUCUUUAUCCACCUGUCUAUGUGGACUGCUUGUAAAGGUUGAUUAUUCACCAACCUGCUUUCAAAGAUUGGAGCAUUACCUAAUGGAAUGAGGUGAACACAGAGGAUCAUGAUGCCGCCGAGGAAGAGAGAAGACGACUGGCAGAAAUUCCUGGAGCAGUGCUGGAGCAGCAAGAGGGCAAUUAUGUGACCUCCCCUCACCUGCCUCCCCUGACCGCACGUCACUGCAUAUCACGGGAGAAGACAGCUGACAUACCACAGGAGUGAGCACAGCAACGCAAUAGAGAACAUAUUGCAGCUGCUCAGGAGGACCAACAAGCGCGUCUCAGGAUGGCCUCGGCCUCUUUCACCUGUCCCCGACUGAGCAGCCAGCGAGGAGACUCUGGAAUUAACCUGGAGAGUUGAAACAUAGAGACACAGUAAUAUCUUCAGAUACGCACUGCAACGCAGGGCAAAAUGCACCAAACAUAAAAAUGGACUGAGUCACCGGGAUCCUACAAAAACGAAGCCAAUGCGGCGGUGCCUGAAGCUUGUAUUCACAGUAAUGACCAGCAGAGGGCGACUCCACUGGUUGCAAAACUGAAUAAUACUAGAGUAAUAUUUCGAGAAAAAAAACAGACUUUGUGACAUUAAAGUAGCAAAUCUAUGAGAAAAAAACUCACAAAUCUACGAGAUUAAAGUCGCAAAUCUACGAAGUAAAAAAAAGUUGGAAAAAUUGUGUUUUGUUUAUCAAGGAACUACAUCACUUUUGUGACAAGUGAUUGUUCAAUCUGUCCUGUCUACAUGCAAAAGUGUGCUGGGAUCUUAUCAGUAUUACUGUAUAUUAGUCUGCACAUCUGACUGUUAUGUUUACAAACUGAAGGAUACUACCAAGCAAUACACAGGUUGCUGUGUAAGAGGGUUCGGCUGGAACACGGUUUAUGAAUAUUCUCACCACCACAGAGGGAUGUAGAUUAGGCAAGAGGUCGCCAUAGCAAUCAGUAGUGUCCACCAUUCUCGCAGGAAGUAAGCCACUGCAGGCAUUGCCAUGUACCCCACAGCGGAGGCCAUGAAAACCCCGAGGGAGCCAAAGAAUAGUCGGGCCUUUGGGCUUAGAAUUUCUGUACCUGUAGGUGUGACAAAUAAAGAAGAAUAAGUUAAAAUAAACCCACACUCCAGUUACUGGUUGCCAUGUUUGUUGGAGCAGAAUUAUUCUUUUAGAUAUAGUCGGGCCAUUGCAACAUCAAGUACAGUGUCAAAUUCUGCAUCUUUAGCGGAGAACUUACCCAGCACAUAUGCAAUGGUAUAGUUGGAAAAUCCCCCAGCACCCGCCAAGAAAUACAACACGGCGAAGACUUCCCAGUUUGGGGAGAAUAUCUGGGCUGCGAUCGUCACAAUUUGAAGAAUCAUCAUGCUAUAUAUUGCCGGUUUCCGUCCAUACCUGGUUAGGCAAUUGGCCGUUUAUUGUUGAGUAAGCUUGUUCAAAAAAAACUAACUUGAAAAAAACAAAACAACAUUGUGUAACAGUACAGACCUGUCAGACAUCUGACCUGAGAGGAAUACUCCCGACAGUGCACCGAUGUAAUGGAUGGAGGUGGUCAGUGGAACUUUGUAUGCAUUCUCACAAACCAGGUCCCACUGCAAAAGGGCAUUAGUGCGGUUAGAAUGAGAGCGGAAAGUCUGAUUCUGCAAACAAAUACAACUUUAAUGAGUAAUAAUUGUCACGUGGUUUCGUAAUUCAGGGUUUCAUGGUCGGGCUCCUUGUUUCGCUUAUUCAUUUGGUUCAGUUUGCUGCGCAACAGAUAAACCUGGCUGGCAGUUGUUGUGUGUAAAUAUCCAGAAGAAGCUAUGCAUCUCUUGCUAAGCACAAAUUUCUGUGUACAUUUCCACUUGUUUAACACUUAUUUUACGAAGCUGGUACAGGCCUGCUCCUGCUAACAAAAUUCAUUUGUUUGGCACAAUCUUUCUUCUCUUUCUAUUAAAUCAUUUCAUGGGAACUGUUACAGUUCAAAAUGAUGAUGAGUUGAAGGGAGGCAUGAUUACGAUGAAUGAGAGUUUGUACCCACUUUGUGUUGAUAUGACUAAAGCAUCAUUUUAGGGCUCAUUGAUCAUUUAGUUUGGACUUUACACGAUAAUGCUACAGUGAAGUCAGUGUCUGCCUCUGUACGAAUGUCACGUCGGAGAUAAUUGAUUUGAUGUGGAAGAACUUGAGGACUUAUCGCUCACCUCUGUGACAAUGGUCGACUGGUAGAUUUUCUUGCUGUAUGUCCACCCAUCCAGGCAACUUUCCAAAGGAAUUGCACUCACAUUCACAUCCACAUCUGGGAGGAUCUUAUUUUGAGAGUAGUUGCUGACAAUUUCCAGGUUGAGCCUUGAGCAGGAGCUGCGCUUCACGAUGCCACCAACGGUCUCCAGCGGGAUCGUCACGUUUCUCCACACCUCACUGAUGCCGUCGUUUUCUGGGAUAUAGCACUCGUGCGGCGGCGUGUCCGCCACGAAUACUAUGUAGAUGCCGACAAAACCAUUUGGGAGGAUGCUGACA